rnacentral:rRNA from 1 species
GACGAGGGGUCCUAGCGUUGUUCGGAAUCACUGGGCGUAAAGGGUGUGUAGGUGGCCUUGUAAGUCAGGUGUGAAAGCCCAUGGCUCAACCAUGGAACUGCAUUUGAUACUGCAAAGCUUGAAUAUUGGAGAGGAUGGUAGAAUUCCUGGUGUAGUGGUGAAAUACGUAGAUAUCAGGAGGAACACCGGUGGCGAAGGCGACCAUCUGGCCAAAUAUUGACACUGAGACACGAAAGCGUGGGGAUCAAACAGG